rnacentral:rRNA from 1 species
GAUGAACGCUGACAGAAUGCUUAACACAUGCAAGUCAACUUGAACUUCGGUUUGGGUGGCGGACGGGUGAGUAACGCGUAAAGAACUUGCCUCACAGCUAGGGACAACAUUUGGAAACGAAUGCUAAUACCUGAUAUUAUGAUUAUAUGGCAUCGUAUAAUUAUGAAAGCUAUAUGCGCUGUGAGAGAGCUUUGCGUCCCAUUAGCUAGUUGGAGAGGUAACAGCUCACCAAGGCGAUGAUGGGUAGCCGGCCUGAGAGGGUGAUCGGCCACAAGGGGACUGAGACACGGCCCUUACUCCUACGGGAGGCAGCAGUGGGGAAUAUUGGACAAUGGACCGAGAGUCUGAUCCGGCAAUUCUGUGUGCACGAUGAAGUUUUUCGGAAUGUAAAGUGCUUUCAGUUGGGAAGAAAAAAAUGACGGUACCAACAGAAGAAGUGACGGCUAAAUACGUG